rnacentral:rRNA from 1 species
GACAGAGGGUGCAAACGUUGUUCGGAAUUACUGGGCGUAAAGCGCGUGUAGGCUGCCCCGCAAGUCGGAUGUGAAAGCCCUGGGCUCAACCUGGGAAGUGCACUCGAAACUGCGGGGCUGGAGUCCUGGAGAGGAAGGCGGAAUUCUCGGUGUAGAGGUGAAAUUCGUAGAUAUCGAGAGGAACACCGGUGGCGAAGGCGGCCUUCUGGGACAGUGACUGACGCUGAGACACGAAAGCGUGGGGAGCAAACAGG